GGAUGAACGCUAGCGGCAGGCUUAACACAUGCAAGUCGAGGGGUAUAGUUCUUCGGAGCUAGAGACCGGCGCACGGGUGCGUAACGCGUAUGCAAUCUACCUUUCACAGAGGGAUAGCCCAGAGAAAUUUGGAUUAAUACCUCAUAGUAUUAUAGAGUGGCAUCACUUUAUAAUUAAAGUCACAACGGUGAAAGAUGAGCAUGCGUCCCAUUAGCUAGUUGGUAAGGUAACGGCUUACCAAGGCUACGAUGGGUAGGGGUCCUGAGAGGGAGAUCCCCCACACUGGUACUGAGACACGGACCAGACUCCUACGGGAGGCAGCAGUGAGGAAUAUUGGACAAUGGGCGCAAGCCUGAUCCAGCCAUGCCGCGUGCAGGAUGACGGUCCUAUGGAUUGUAAACUGCUUUUAUACAGGAAGAAACACCUCUACGUGUAGAGACUUGACGGUACUGUAAGAAUAAGGAUCGGCUAACUCCGUGCCAGCAGCCGCGGUAAUACGGAGGAUCCAAGCGUUAUCCGGAAUCAUUGGGUUUAAAGGGUCCGUAGGCGGUUUAGUAAGUCAGUGGUGAAAGCCCAUCGCUCAACGGUGGAACGGCCAUUGAUACUGCUAGACUUGAAUUAUUAGGAAGUAACUAGAAUAUGUAGUGUAGCGGUGAAAUGCUUAGAGAUUACAUGGAAUACCAAUUGCGAAGGCAGGUUACUACUAAUUGAUUGACGCUGAUGGACGAAAGCGUGGGUAGCGAACAGGAUUAGAUACCCUGGUAGUCCACGCCGUAAACGAUGGAUACUAGCUGUUGGGAGCAAUCUCAGUGGCUAAGCGAAAGU
rnacentral:rRNA from 1 species